GAUGAACGCUGGCGGCGUGCCUAAUACAUGCAAGUCGAGCGAACAGACGAGGAGCUUGCUCCUCUGACGUUAGCGGCGGACGGGUGAGUAACACGUGGAUAACCUACCUAUAAGACUGGGAUAACUUCGGGAAACCGGAGCUAAUACCGGAUAAUAUAUUGAACCGCAUGGUUCAAUAGUGAAAGACGGUUUUGCUGUCACUUAUAGAUGGAUCCGCGCCGCAUUAGCUAGUUGGUAAGGUAACGGCUUACCAAGGCAACGAUGCGUAGCCGACCUGAGAGGGUGAUCGGCCACACUGGAACUGAGACACGGUCCAGACUCCUACGGGAGGCAGCAGUAGGGAAUCUUCCGCAAUGGGCGAAAGCCUGACGGAGCAACGCCGCGUGAGUGAUGAAGGUCUUCGGAUCGUAAAACUCUGUUAUUAGGGAAGAACAAAUGUGUAAGUAACUAUGCACGUCUUGACCGUACCUAAUCAGAAAGCCACGGCUAACUACGUG
rnacentral:rRNA from 1 species